UACAGGGGGGGGCAAGCGUUGUUCGGAAUUACUGGGCGUAAAGGGCUCGUAGGUGGCCAACUAAGUCAGACGUGAAAUCCCUCAGCUUAACUGGGGAACUGCGUCUGAUACUGGAUGGCUUGAGUUUGGGAGAGGGAUGCGGAAUUCCAGGUGUAGCGGUGAAAUGCGUAGAGAUGUGGAGGAACACCAGUGGCGAAGGCGGCUUUCUGGUCUGUAACUGACGCUGAGGCGCGAAAGCGUGGGGAGCAAACAGGG
rnacentral:rRNA from 1 species